rnacentral:rRNA from 1 species
UACAGAGGGUGCGAGCGUUAAUCGGAAUUACUGGGCGUAAAGCGCGCGUAGGCGGCUUUGCAAGUCGGGUGUGAAAUCCCCAGGCUUAACCUGGGAACUGCAUUCGAGACUGCAUUGCUAGAGUAUGGGAGAGGGAAGUGGAAUUUCCGGUGUAGUGGUGAAAUGCGUAGAGAUCGGGAGGAACACCUGUGGCGAAGGCGGCCCCCUGGGCCGGCCCUGACACUGAGACGCGAAGGCGUGGGGAGCGAACGGG